AAGAAUCUGUGAUUGCUGGAAGGUCGGUCCCCAUCAGGUAUAUAAGUGUCUCCUCACCUUCAGGAGAUACAGAACUUCUCUCAUAUCCAUCAGGUCUUCCUGGACUCUGAAGAUGAAGCUCCUCCUUUCUUUCUUUCUCCUCUCCGCGGUCUCAGCAGACAAAAUCUGUGAACAGAAUUGUCCUGGAGAAUGUUGUCUGAGGGACGUCGUCUCCCUCACAAACCUCAUGAAAUCUAUGGCUUCCACAGCCCUGGAGAGCAGUAAAAUUGUCUGCACUGACGUCAACCAGCGAGGAGCAUUCGCUACCUGUCCUGCAGGUAAUUAU